rnacentral:rRNA from 1 species
ACGAACGCUGGCGGCGUGCGUAACACAUGCAAGUCGAACGGAAAGGCCCUGCUUUUGUGGGGUGCUCGAGUGGCGAACGGGUGAGUAACACGUGAGUAACCUGCCCUUGACUUUGGGAUAACUUCAGGAAACUGGGGCUAAUACCGGAUAGGAGCUCCUGCUGCAUGGUGGGGGUUGGAAAGUUUCGGCGGUUGGGGAUGGACUCGCGGCUUAUCAGCUUGUUGGUGGGGUAGUGGCUUACCAAGGCUUUGACGGGUAGCCGGCCUGAGAGGGUGGCCGGCCACAUUGGGACUGAGAUACGGCCCAGACUCCUACGGGAGGCAGCAGUGGGGAAUAUUGCACAAUGGGCGGAAGCCUGAUGCAGCAACGCCGCGUGCGGGAUGACGGCCUUCGGGUUGUAAACCGCUUUCGCCUGUGACGAAGCGUGAGUGACGGUAAUGGGUAAAGAAGCACCGGCUAACUACGUG